AAAGUCGUAACAAGGUUUCCGUAGGUGAACCUGCGGAAGGAUCAUUAUUGAAUGAAUUUGAAGUUAAAAAAGAGUUUUGUUGCUGGCUUUUGCUUGAAAGCAUUGUGCACGCUUUUUACUUCAUUUUUUCUUCUCAAUUACCCCCUGUGCACAUUUUGUAAGUCUGAAAAAGAAAUUGUCAAGAAACUUUUCUUUCUUGGUUUCCAAGAGUUGCUGGAUUUUUAUAUAAUUCAGCUCUUUUUUUGUUUUGUUUCUUUUUCAGACUUAUGUUUGUUAUAAAAUCCAAAUGAAAUGUUAUAGAAUGUGUUUAUUUAAACAAAUAGUGUUAAUACAACUUUCAACAAUGGAUCUCUUGGCUCUU
rnacentral:misc_RNA from 1 species